AGGUAAAGCUAUUAAGAGCGUACGGUGGAUGCCUAGGUACAAGUAGCCGAUGAAGGACGUGAGAAACGACGAAAUGCGACGGGGAGCUGUAUUAAGCCUUGAUCCGUUGAUGUCCGAAUGGGGAAACCCACCACGAGUUAAGUUGUGGUAUCGCAAGAUGAAUACAUAGUCUUGUCGAAGGUAAGCUAGUGAACUGAAACAUCUUAGUAACUAGAGGAAAAUAAAUCAAAUUAGAGAUUCCCCCAGUAGCGGCGAGCGAACGGGGAAGAGCCUAAACCGAUGAUAUGUGAUACAUUGCAGUGGUUGUAUUAUCGGGGUUGUGGGACGUAUUGUUCACUUUCUGCUAGAAGUGACUGAAGUAAGAAAAUCGUUUGAUAGAUUAACACAGUUGGGAAGCUGGGCCAUAGAGCGUGAUAGCCGUUUGAUUUAAAUUGAGUGAUCUUCAGUGAUAUGCUCCCGAGUAGUGCGUUACACGUGAAAUUCCGCACGAAUCCGCGAGGACCAUCUCGUAAGGCUAAAUACUACUUGUGACCGAUAGUGAACCAGUACGGUGACGGAAAGGUGAAAAGAACGGUGUAAAGCCGAGUGAAAUAGAAACUGAAACCGUACGCUUACAAGCAGUCAGAGCCUUAUUGAUAGGGUGAUGGCGUGCCUGUUGAAGAAUGAGCCAGCGAGUUAACGUUUGUAGUAAGGUUAAGAUGGUAAGAAGUCGUAGCCGUAGGGAAACCGAGUCCUAAUUGGGCGUUUUAAUUACAGGCGUUAGACCCGAACCCGGGUGAUCUAACCAUGGCCAGCGUGAAGCGUAGGUAAUACUACGUGGAGGUGCGAACUGAUGAAUGUUGAAAAAUUCUCGGAUGAGUUGUGGUUAGGGGUGAAAUGCCAAUCGAACCCGGAGCUAGCUGGUUCUCCCCGAAAUGCAUUGAGGUGCAGCGUCAGACGUAUCUUACAGGGGGUAGAGCACUAAUUCGGUGCGGGCUUCGUCUAGAGGUACCAAAUCGAGGUAAACUCCGAAUACCUGUAAAGUGAUAUCUGGCAGUGAGACAGCGAGUGAUAAGAUCCGUUGUCAAGAGGGAAACAGCCCAGACCAUCAGCUAAGGUCCCUAAUUUUACACUAAGUGAUAAACGAGGUGUUAUUUCAUAGACAACCAGUAGGUUGGCUUAGAAGCAGCCAUCCUUUAAAGAGUGCGUAAUAGCUCACUGGUCAAGAGAUAGCGCGCGGAAAAUUUACGGGGCUAAGUGUAGAACCGAAGCUAUGGCAUCCGUCCUAGGGACGUGAUGGGUAGGGGAGCGUUGUGUAGUAGGAUGAAGCAUGACCGGCAAGGACAUGUGGACGAAUCACAAGUGAGAAUGCUGGCUUGAGUAGCGAAAACAGUAGUGAGAAUCUACUGCAUCGAAAAUCUAAGGUUUCCAACGGCAGGCUCGUCCGCGUUGGGUUAGUCGGGAUCUAAGGCGAGGCUGAAGAGCGUAGUCGAUGACGAUCAGGUUGAUAUUCCUGAACUAAUUUUAUAUUGUUUGAGUAGCGGCAUGACGCAGAAGUUUAUGUGAGCGGAUGAUUGGUUGAGUUCGUACAAGCGUGUAGCUAGUUGUGGUAGGUAAAUCCGCCAUGAUGUUGAUGUGAGGCGUGAUGUGGAGGUUCUACGGAACCGAAGUUACAGAUAGCACACUGCCGAGAAAAGUGUCGUAUAUGAGAUAUUGAAUUACCCGUACCGUAAACCGCCACAGGUGGAUUGGUAGAGAAUACCGAGAUGCGCGAGAUAACCCUCCUUAAGGAACUCGGCAAAAUAGCCUCGUAACUUCGGGAGAAGAGGUGCCCUAUUAUCGUGAAGGCUGUACAGCUGGAGCGAGAGAGGGUUGCAGUGAAAUGUCCCAGGCGACUGUUUACCAAAAACACAGGUCUCUGCAAAGUCGUAAGACGACGUAUAGGGGCUGACGCCUGCCCGGUGUCGGAAGGUUACGGGGAGCGGUUAGUAGUUUACUACGAAGCUGUGAACCUAAGCCCCGAUGAACGGCGGCCGUAACUAUAACGGUCCUAAGGUAGCGAAAUUCCUUGUCAGGUAAGUUCUGACCCGCACGAAUGGCGUAACGAUCUGGGAACUGUCUCAAGGAGGGACUCGGCGAAAUAGGAAUGGCUGUGAAGAUACGGCCUACGUAUGCCAGGACAGAAAGACCCUAUUGAGCUUUACUCUAACUUGUAAUUGAGAUUUGAUGAACAUUGCGCAGGAUAGGUGGGAGACUUUGAAGUAGUGAUUUUGGUUGCUAUGGAGUCAUUGUUGAGAUACCACUCUUUGUUUAUUGGGUUUCUAACCAAUUGCCAUGAAGCUGGCGUUGGGACAGUUGCAGGCGGGGAGUUUGACUGGGGCGGUCGCCUCCUAAAGAGUAACGGAGGCGUCCAAAGGUUCCCUCAGAUCGUAUGGAAAUCGAUCGUAGAGUGCAAAGGCAUAAGGGAGCUUGACUGCGAGACAAACAAGUCGAGCAGGGACGAAAGUCGGGCUUAGUGAUCCUGCGGUUGAGAAUGGAAUCGCCGUGGCUCAUCGGAUAAAAGUUACCAUAGGGAUAACAGGCUGAUCUCCCCCAAGAGUCCACAUCGACGGGGAGGUUUGGCACCUCGAUGUCGGCUCGUCGCAUCCUGGAGCGGUAGUACGUUCCAAGGGUUGGGCUGUUCGCCCAUUAAAGCGGUACGUGAGCUGGGUUCAGAACGUCGUGAGACAGUUCGGUCCAUAUCCGGCAUGUGCGCAAGAGAUUUGAGUGGAGCCGUCUUUAGUACGAGAGGACCGAGACGGAUAGGCCAACGGUGUACCAGUUAUCGUGCCAACGGUAAAUGCUGGGUAGCUGCGCCUGUCGAGGAUAAGUGCUGAAAGCAUCUAAGUACGAAGCCCACCACAAGAUGAGAUCUCUCACGCGGUUAACGCGGUAAGUCUCCUGGAAGAUAAUCAGGUUGAUAGGUCAUAAGUGGAAGUCUGGUAACAGAUGGAGCUGAGUGAUACUAAUAAGACGAGGGCUUUUCCUU
rnacentral:rRNA from 1 species